AGCAAAUGCAACUCUGGGAUGUAGCUGAAUAUCAAAUAAUUAGGCAAAUUUGUGCGCGCAUAGUGUUUUUUCCGGAAAAUUUUCGUUGUUUUCGUAAAAUAUUGAGUUUUGUGAAAUAAUAUAUAUGUAAAUCUUGCAUUAGCGAAAUAUUGAUUUUCUUUUUAAAUAAGAUUUAGACACUUUGUAUUUGCAAUACACGUGAGUCGUGUGCUAGCAGAGGUUUUACAAAUAUCGGCCUCGUGGAGAUUUGGAAGUUUCUGGCCAAACAACAAACAACCAACAAAAAAAAUGCCGAAAAGAUGUGUAUGCAGAUGUGCAGAAGUAAGCUCCCUCUACAAGUUUCCUUUGGCCUCGGAUGUAUCAAGGCUUAUUGACCAAGAAUGAUACGGGAAGUAAAUGAUCANGAGUUUUGUGAAAUAAUAUAUAUGUAAAUCUUGC